CGUGUUACAAUGGCAGGUACAGAGGGAUGCUACCGGGCGACCGGAUGCGGAUCUCGAAAGCCUGUCCCAGUUCGGACUGGAGUCUGCAACCCGACUCCACGAAGUUGGAUUCGCUAGUAAUCGCGCAUCAGCCAUGGCGCGGUGAAUACGUUCCCGGGCCUUGUACACACCGCCCGUCAAGCCAUGGGAGCCGGGGGCGCCUGAAGUCCGGGACCGCGAGGACCGGCCUAGGGCGAAACUGGUAACUGGGGCUAAGUCGUAACAAGGUACC
rnacentral:rRNA from 1 species